rfam:Hordeum vulgare subsp. vulgare, WGS project CAJW01000000 data, contig: morex_contig_1563187
UAUGUACUCCCUCCAUCCAUAAUUACUUGUCGCGGAAAUGAAUUAAAAUGGAUGUAUCUAGAAUUAAAAUAUGUCUAGAUACAUUCAUUUCUCUGACAAGUAUUUCCGGGCGGAGGGAGUAGGAA